AAGAAAAUAUCAUGUUUUGAGGAUCUCACUUCAAAAAUUUUGUAGCAAAUUAUCUUGGAAAAAUAGAUAUUAGUCAAAGGGUAGAAAAAUUAAAGGUGCUAAUACUGUAAUUUUUCCAAAUUAUGCUUCUAUUUACUUUGUAAGGCUAUAAAUAAGACAAAACAAGGUAGAUUAAAAAAAUAAAGGAUAUACGCAUAUGUAGGGAGGAGUUAGGAGUGCAAAUUAGUAAAAAUUACCUCAAGAAGACAAAAGUUGAUACCCGAAGAGGACCAGUUAUGAAUGUGGAUCGAAAUCAGAUCCCAAGGCACAAAACUGAGCUUUGACAGCAACUCAAGGGUUCUUUGGGAGAUCGAAGAACUGAAUUAGAGAGAAGACUUGUGGAGGGAUUUUUGACAGGUGAUUUUGUAUCGUUUGGAUCAGUAUUGGAUUUUUGAGGGAUUUUCAAAGCAAGUGAUGUUCUCUGUGAAUUUAGAUCUUUGAGAAAUAAAACUAGUUUACAAAUUUUUGGAUUUCGUGUCUUUUGUUGCAUUUUUACGGAUGAAAAUUCAGAAACUUAUUGGUAUCCUUGUUCUAAAUACGUAUAAGAGAUUUGAGGUCAAUCAAAUGGCUAGAUCGAUACAUAUGAAGGUUUUUGUGGACUAAGGUCUUGGGAUUUAGGAUUUUGCAAACUAAUAAGGUUUUCUUAGAUAUCUAGCAAUUUGCUA
rnacentral:lncRNA from 1 species